UACAGAGGUGGCAAGCGUUGUUCGGAAUUCCUGGGCGUAAAGGGCGCGUAGGCGGCCUUGUAAGUCCUGUGUGAAAUCCCCCGGCUCAACUGGGGAACUGCACAGGAGACUGCUUGGCUUGAGUUCGGGAGAGGGAAGCGGAAUUCCGGGUGUAGCGGUGAAAUGCGUAGAUAUCCGGAGGAACACCGGUGGCGAAGGCGGCUUCCUGGACCAACACUGACACUGAGGAGCGAAAGCCAGGGGAGCAAACGGG
rnacentral:rRNA from 1 species